CGGCCGCGUCGACAACACAUGCAAGUCGAACGGAGUAGAAAUACUUAGUGGCGGACGGGUGAGUAACGCGUGAGAAUCUGCCUUCAGGACGGAGACAACAGUUGGAAACGACUGCUAAGCCCCGAUGAACCGAAGGGAAAAUAUUUAUAGCCUGAAGAUGAGCUCGCGUCCGAUUAGCUAGUUGGCGGAGUAAAAGCCCACCAAGGCGACGAUCGGUAGCUGGUCUGAGAGGGUGAUCGGCCACACUGGGACUGAGACACGGCCCAGACUCCUACGGGAGGCAGCAGUAGGGAAUCUUCGGCAAUGGGGGCAACCCUGACCGAGCAACGCCGCGUGAGUGAAGAAGGUUUUCGGAUCGUAAAGCUCUGUUGUAAGUCAAGAACGGGUGUGAGAGUGGAAAGUUCACACUAUGACGGUAGCUUACCAGAAACGGGACGGCUAACUACGUGCCAGGUCGACGCGGCCG
rnacentral:rRNA from 1 species